AUUGGAAUCAAUCUAAAAACAGAAGCUUUAAAUUCUGUGCAAUAUUGUUUAUCAACAAUAUAAUAUUUUUAGAUUUUAAUUGGACUUCAUUCUAAUUUUAAACUCAAAAUUGGAGUGUUCUUGCAGAGGUGUGUGUGCAUGUGUGUUUGUGUGUGGAGUAUGAACGCAUUUACUGUAUUCAUUUUAAGCAUAAUUAUGUGUUAAACAUGUGAGUGUACUCACAUAUGUGUGUGCAUAUGUGUGCAUAUGUAUGCGCGUGUCAGUGGGUGUAUGUGUGGUGUGUGCGCCUGUCUGUCAGUCAAGCUGCAUUCAGUGACUAGGAAUAUUAUUUUACUCGUACAAAGGCCUUGCUUUGUCCUUGUGCAUGGACAUAAACCACCUUAAAAAAAUAUGCUUCACCAAAUUUCAUAAAAAUCCAUUUUUAAAAAGGCCACAUGCUCUCAGAAUGCAGCAGAACAGAACAGGUUGUUUAAUGUAACCUGGGGAAAAAACAAUGUCUGGAAAAUCGAUCAUUUGUGAACAGGCAUUUAAGUGUCUGGGAUAAUUUCUGCAUAUUGACAGUUGGGUCAAAAAUCUUCAGGGUUGUUCUAAUUGUUGGGAAGAAUAAUCUGUGCCUUAUACUCUUCUCUCUUCCAUCAGUCCGUCUCUUUCUUCACCACUAAUCAUAGAGCUUCAGUUGGAGCUGGUGCUUUGUGGGGAGGAGCCUGCAACAACAGAGAUCUGGGCACACAGAGCAGCUUUAAUUAGAUGGGGCCUCGUGCCAUGUGCCAUCACGGCAUGUGUGCAAAUGAAUGUGUGCCUGUAUGUUGUGCAGCUUUGUCUUUAUGUGGGGAUGCUUUUUUGUGUUUAUGUCUGUUUAGCUUUUCCUUUCUUUUCUGAAUUUCUUAUUAUUUGCACACUGAAUAGAAAGCGACUGAACAUUUCUUCAUUCUGGAGAAGACAUUUUUGCUAUGUUUGUGCCCAUGGACCUUAAACCUUAAUGUCCUCCCUUAGGCAUCACCCUCGAGCGUCGGCCAACUGCUUUGGCAUCAGAUAAUGUAAAUGAAGACAAACCAGUUUUUUUUGUAGUCAAACAGCCAGGAUCUUCUUUUAAUUUAAAAAUGUAUUUCGGUCAUUGCGGGGGGUGCUGUUUGAAGCCAUCACACUCCCAUAGAGCCACUCAGUGGGCAUUGCAGAUUGACCGUAGGGAUGGGCGCCAGACUGGAGAAAGGUAGACUGGAGCCAUUGCCAGUAUGAACCGGUUCAACAACUGGUGCAAUUGUUUUGUAAUUGGUGCAUCUUGCUGAUUGUUUGACAUGAAGGGUUUUUGAUAUACCCCAAGCAAAUCAACGGGUUUAGUGGACAAAGGGAGGUUUCCAAUUCGUUGAGAGGAUUUUAGGCGGGAUACAGACAACCUGGUGACAUCAUAAAAUGACAGGUCAGAACAUUUAAAGGAUGCUGAGAGCUGAAGGAUAAUUAGAAGAGCUCAAGCCAGAAGACUAACAUUUUUGUUCCAUGGAGUAAACAGUUGUUUGAUUUGUAUGACUUAGAAUAUGCUAUGUGGCAAAGAUUUUUACUCAGUUUGUUGUUGGUGAAAUAAUAAAAUUUUAAAAACUAUACAUAUAUGUUUGUUAACAUUUUUCCUAUCUGUCUUUAGGUGAGAUAUUGGCCCAUGUUUCUUGGCCUUGGGUUUAAGAGGAUGGGUAGCCUUAGGGGUUGAUUGUUAUCUUUGGUUAUCUAGCUGUAUGAGUGAUGUACAUUCUUCAUAAAGCUAGAUAACCGAAAGUAACAAGAAUCCCAUUACACUCCUGGAAAGGCAUCAAGACCCAAAGUGACUCCUUUCAUCAAAAUAUUUUGAAAUACACAAGAAGAAGUUUAACUUGAGAAAAAAUGGACUGCAUUUUAAAGGAGAAUAGAUCAUUCAUCAAAUAAAGGGCUGUAUGCAGGGGCUUAGCCUUGGUAUCACAUGGCUUGGAGAAAAAGACCCUUACAGAUUUACCAAAGCCAGCAGACUCCAACAAGUCUCCUAAAAACUCUACACUGGGUUAUUGAGUUUGUUUGUUAAUUUGGUAAAUAGUGUGUUCAUUUGUGCCUUUUAAUUUAAGUGUGACUUUUUUCAUUUUUGGCAUGAAGUGACCAUGCAAUGUGGAAUAAAUGUGGCCCUUUAAUCUCAUUGGAGCUGCAUAUGGUGCUAUGAAUUAUACAUAUACUCCAGCAUGGAUGUGAUUGUGAAUGCUCCCUCGGAGGUAAUCUGCUGUCCCAAUGUCCUGCUGGAACCUAAGCGCAAAGACCGGAAUUUAUUUGAGGCCCGUUUUGUUAAGUUAUCCAACGUCGAUUUCUUUCUCCUUUUCAAUGUUUUGCUUGAAAAGAUGUUUAAUUUAGGGUCCUGACGGUUGCUUGAUUUGACGUGACAGUUGGCACAGUUUUGAAUGUGCUUAUAUUCCACGAAGUGCUACCAUGUGGAAAAGCUUGAUAGGAUGCUGAUGUGUGUGCAUGUAAAACUCACAAGGGGAGUGGUCCAGGGGCAAUCAAGCAGAAAGAACCCCCAGUGACGAAAUCUUCGAGUGAGUGAAGGAGAACAAUCUCAGCCUUAAGGUUCUGCAGUGGAGCUCGUGGUGAAGAGUAAUUGGUCAAUCAGAUCUUCAACUUCAAGGCUACUGAUGGCUGAUUGAAGGUGUGAUUUCUGUUCUGCCCAUCAAAGUCAAAGGAUCAUCCCUGCUGAAAAAAGCUACUGAGAUCCAUUUCCUAGGUCUCUGUGCCAGCUUUCUAAGUGAACUCAAAGUGUAAUACAUAUUUUACUUGGUGGUUUGCUGUUACAACACGUUUUACCUGAAAGAUCCCCUUGGGUUUGGACAUGUUCAGCUUGAUAUGGUAUAAAUUCUAAACAGUUGUGCACGACUGAAGUGAAAUACCUAGAAAGCUUACAGCCAAACCUUACCUUGCAACGUCAAUCAACUUAAGCCCCAGAGUUGUGUUUGUCAUCGUGCUGCAUUGCGGGUGCUGAGUGUGACAUUUGAGCUCUCUGCUCAAUUGCUUCUGUAGAGAAACAACGUUCUUGAGAGAAAGUGACAGCCAAAGACGUCCUGUUGUUGAACAUCAAAGUUGUGCCUUGUUCUCUUCUAUGUUGUACUUAUGAAGCCACCAUAUCUAAGGUUUUCUGUAGACUUUUGAGCAUUAGAUGGCUUUGAUCUGCACACACUGUAAAUAUUAUUCCUGAUGUCAAGUCUAAACUGGUGUACUUUGCAUUAAUUAAUCACAUACCAGGUGACAUCCCCACUUACUCUUUAACAUCACAGAGCUUUUUACUUUGCCUCUCUUUUUGGGUCAGUUGCAGUGUUAGACUAAACGGAGACCAAACUCUGACAGAUUGUGGUUAUACCCUAAGCAGUGCCCUGGGAGACACAUGUCGCGGUGCAAAAGCUUUGUUCUUUGCUUUGUGUGUGGCACAGUUAUAUCACUAACACUUCACACUGGGACCACGGAGAAGAGACUAUCUUAGCUUCUGCUUCCCUGAAAAUGGUGUGGAAAAGGGAGAGUUCCUGAAAAACCACCUUAGGGCCUUUGCUCUCUUUUUUCGGUGUCCCUUGGUAUUGUCUAAAAUAGAAAGAAGGAGCAUAGAGAAAUGAUGAAGAGGAAAAAAAGGCAGGCAGAGGAAAGAGGGAGGUGGGUGAUGGGGUUGUCUUAGCCUUCAUGCACUAGGCAAGCAGAUUUAGACUAAGUGUCAACUAGAAAAACAGCCAUUGUGAUAUAGUCCCGCUCACCCCCACGCCACUAGACUUUACAGUCAAUAGAGCUAGUCCACUUGUCACCAAAGGACAAUGCGCCCCCUUUCCUUCCUUUCAGGCCUGCCGGGUCCGAGCAGCCAGACAGUUUUCUGAAUACAACCCAGUGAUUCUUGCCCCCUUUUCUCUUCCUCCCUUUCUCUUGAUGGAACACACCAACAGGGCUUGGAAAAUGGCUUCACUGUUGGGCCAGAGGGCAAAGCCAGACCUUGUUGUUUUCUCCAACAUUGGCAGUCCCUCCACCCCUCUAUGCUCACAGAGAAAUGAAUGUAUCUAAGGCAGUUGCAAAGUCAAUGGGCCUCACCAGACAAAGGAGAUUAAGUUUGGCAACUUGGCAGUAACAGGUGUACUUUGACUGAGCUCAGACCACACGGAGGGUAGCUGCUGUUGUCUGACUCGAUGUUCUGUUUGCCUCCCUAAUGGGACACAGAGAAAGAGGAAAUUUUUUACUGUCUUUUCAAAUAAUCCAAACCUUCUCGAGUAAGAAAGUAUUGCAUAAUGUGUAUUUGAUGUACCUGUCCACAGAGUAAGGCUUUGCUUUGCUUGUAUAUUUAGGUUUUGCUGUAUGAUUAGUAUGAUUUGCUGAGUUUUCUCCAAAGUCAGUCUUGUUAUGUCAGUACUGACCCAAAGGAAAUGUGUAUAUAGAGAACAACAAACUGACAGGGUAGCAUGGCACUGGUGAAGCUUUAGUUUCACUGUUUUCGGAACAGGAGUUAGUCCUUUCCUGUCCACACUUUCAGUACAUUCAAUGAAAAUAAAUCAAGCCAUUCAGUAACACUACAAAUACGAGACACUUUCAGAGCCAGAGGAAAACAGUGUGUGCAUUUGUUUGUUUCAGUCAUUAAUAAAGCUUUUACUGAGAGCCUCUGUAAAGCCCAUUCUGCUGAAAUGACUUGGCAAAGCAUCCGAUAGAGGGUCUGUUCAGACUGAAUCUGCCCUGGUUGCUAUUGUCUAGCUCUCUCUCACACACCUACGUGUCCAGAGUAAGCACACAAUUUCAUUGUUGUGUGAGCUGUUAAUAUCAGCGGCUUCACAAUAGAGCCCAUUCGCCAUAUUUGCAUAAGGCACUUUUCCAACAAGGGCCCAGAGAGGGCUUGAAAGCUGGCCCACUCCAGUGCCAAUGGCAAAAAAUGUCAAGUGCCAAUUAGGAGAGGUUUGCCAUCAUUCAGCAGUACCCCACCCCUGUAGUCCUUUCCCUCCCAGCUUACCCACCUCAACUCUCUCACACUCCAAGUCACCCCUGGUUUCACCACUUCAUUCUAGUUUCAGAUGUUGCCUUCCUCCUCUGACACCUAGAAACAAAAGCAUGCUCCCUCCUCUGCUGGCUAAUGGAAGAUCAUUUUUCUGCUGGGUUUAGAGUAUUAGCAAAAUGUCUGCUUUCUUUGUUGAUUACCUUGAAAAAGGGUUCACAAACUUUGCUGCUAAACCCAUGAGGCACAGCCUCCACCUGUGUGUGAAUGUUGAACUUAGAAAGCUGACUUAAUUAUGCCAGCAGGGUUUUACAUUCUCAAGCUUACAUGUGCAGGUGUGGGUUAUGGAAGUCUAUGGCAAAACAGAUGUUGAUUCAAAACAAUUAAGAAUGAAGUCCUUUCAUCUGGUAUGCUAGUGUGUGAUGGUGCUAAUAAUGCUUGCUUUAAGCUUCUCAUGCUUAUUAUUUUGCACCACACAGUUAUAGACGCAGAAAUUCUUAUUAUGAGAAAAGCUACUACCAGACUUUUCAAACUGAGAAUGCAAUCUUUGAGUUCCUUAAGAAGGCUACCAAAACUACAGCUGUUAUUUACAAGAACCGCAUAAAAUCCAGGUUAGCUGAACUAUAAUGUGCAUAAACUGAAAACCUGUAUAAUUAUACAGUUGUCAAAUAUGCAGAAAUAGUUCCACAUGUGCUUGACUACAAUGACAACAAUCUUGAACAACAAUCUAGAAAGCCAUCUGUGCUUUUGAAUUUAAGUAAGGUAGUGUCAAUGAAAGACAUACUUCCUUCAGAAUGAUGACGCUGGAGUAAAAAUUGAACAAAAAUGCAUCAUAGACAAAAUUAAAGAGACUAACUGCUUGCUGGCUGUUGUUUUUCACAGAUCGUUUACCUAUCGCGCAGCCUCCUGCCACUCGAAUGGAUUUUUCUCUCGUCCCUGUUUCUCUUUCAUUCUUUCAUUCAGUCUCUGUGUCGAGUUUUUUUUUUCCUUUCCCACCCUUGAUUCUCAGAUGGUUGGAUCUGAUUUGCAUGCAUUUGCAUAAUGAAAGUCAUUUGCAUGCUCAGGGGCAGACUGUACCAUGAGAACAGACAUGAAAAGGUGUGUGUGUGCAUGUGCAGGGGUGUGUGUGCGUAUGCAUGCAUUAGUGUGUAUGCAUAAGUUGCUUCAUAUGCUUCUGUAAAACUGUCCAUAAUUGUUUUGAUGGCUUAACUACAUUGUUAACAUUUACCAGUAACACCCCGUGUCCCUGUUCUCUUUGCAGGGUACCUUACCAAAUAGAGAAAAGAUGGCAAAAGAAAACUGAAAACAGAAGAGGAGGAGGGGUUGCUGUUGAUUGUGCCCUCCCUCUCUCAUCGCCCUCUUCUGCAUCGCCUCUUCCCACCUCCUCCUCUUCUCUUUCUCCUCCACACCAUCCUCAGCAGACUGCCCCUUUUUCCUGUACAGCGAAAUGCAGCCCACGCCACCAUCUUAGAGCAACGCUGGCAUAAAAUGGAAGUGGAAAGACCAGUCACUGCAGAUAAACGUUGGUGGUCACGGGGUUCCAGAAUGGACAGAACAUACAAUGGGGAGACAGCAGGACUCCUCUUUCACAGCUUGCUGCCAUUCAGCUGAUGUAAACAAGGAUGCUGCUGUCUGUGUGCAACUUGAUGGAUCUUGUUUCCAUGUCUGUGGGACACUUUGACCCACAUGGAUGUUUUGUGAAGACCUUUUGGUGAUUUAGCUGCAAAAAUUUAAUUUUGAACAGUGGCUGUGGAAUCCUGUGUGCUAAGAAAGAUGAUGCAUAGCACUAUAAUGCUGCGAUUGAUUUUUUUUUUUUUGCAUGUUGUAUACGUCUGUACAUAAUAUUAUACAGACAAGCAGUGUAUUUCUAUAGCUAACAUAUAGGCUCUCCCUUAUAUAGGUUGCUUUCAAUUUGAGUUUUAGCCCUCGCUGAUGUUCAGUUUGAUGUUUUGUUUUAGUUGCUAGGACUCAAAAGACACGUGAAUGUGAGACCCACGACAGCAGUGAAUAAUACUGCACUGCGAUUGGACAGCUCCGUGUGUCGGCUGACACAAUGGCGAAGGAGAGAGCUGUCGUCUUUAUACUCUAUGCAACUGUUCUGUCUGUUUUGGUUUUGUUUUGGGCAGAGCCUUUUUUAUCUACACUUUGGAUUUUUCUUUAUGGGCUAACAAUUAAUGGACAUUCCUUCAUACAUUAUCAAGACAAAUUGUGCUUUAUCCAGAAGCGUACGUUCCUAAUUUUUAUAUGUAAAAACUGUAAUUAGAGGAGGUGUGUGUCAUAUUUGAUUGGUAAUUACAUUUUAAAGCCUGGAAAAAAAUCUUUGUGAAUAAAUGUGGAAUCAAAUAUAUAAUAUUCCUGAUGGCAGUAGUGUGUUUGAUCAGGAGGAAGUGAAACAUUGCUGCUGUGUGUAUGUUUCCUCUGAGGCACAUUAGUUUGCCUCAUAACAGUUACCUGUGCUGCUAUAAUGAUACAUCUUUGGGUAAGACAUGACAAAUACAUUGGCUUCAAACACUGCCUUAAUUUCCUGUUCACACACAAAUGCACACACACAGAUCCCAGUGCAAUAACACAAGUACCAUUGCAGCUUAAUUCAUUUUAUAUUAAUUUUCGGAAAGUGGAUUUUUUUUUAUUAUUAUGAUUGAUAAUCUAUGCAAAUCUUUUAAAGUAUUACUUUAAACAAUCUAUGCACUGCUCUUCUGCUCUUGCAUUUGAUUCAAGGGAGACUGUCUUGGCCUAAUUUAGAAAAUGUAUUCUUUUGAUAAUCAUGCACAUCCCAGUGCUCGAGACAAUUACUUAUCUGCCUGGAUAAGCUUGAAAUUAUGUUUUUAAUCUUUUGCAAAAAAAAGUCUCUCUUCUAAUAUCAGUUGAGAGGCAUAAAAACCAUGAUUUCUGGUGUGAAAUAAUUAAAUCACUAUCACUUAAUAUCCUUGCUUUUUUUUAAAUGCAAAUGUAAUUUAUCUGUUUAGCUUAUUUUUUUUUGGAAGAUGUAUGUUUGUGUUAUGCAACUUGUGUAUAAGUGCUCACCACAUGUGCCUUUGUAUGCAAAUCUGUAUUAGAAUAGUAAUAAAGGUUUACAUUGAAAACAAUGAAAA